ACUCCCAAAGGACUCGUCGCUAGGAGUCUGCCACAAGGGGACACGUUUAAGAGCGUUCGUGGUCGCGGGCGCGGACAGAUGUAGCAGGUGUGCAGAGAUGUCGAGAGAGGAGCGGAGACAGGGCCUGAGACAACACCAAUUAUGAAUGGCUGAAGUGUGGGACUGUCAAGUUCUACUCAAAAUAUGACCAGACACGAAACCAAUCUGCUCCUCUGCAGCCGUUGUGGGUAUCUGAUGAAGAGUUGGAAGUGUCAGCGGUGCUGGGAGAUGGUGGCGUGUCAGAGAUAUUCUGCCCGCUCCCCAAAAUUCUGUCCCGCCGCCUGUCUUACAAAAUCCUGGAGCACCACCCACUGCUCAAAAACCUGUAGCACCACUUGUCCCUCAAAAUCCUGGAGCACAACCUGCCCCCCAACAUUCUCUCCUGGAGCCUGCCCUCAUUCUCUUAGAGCGCCACCAGUUCCCAAACAUUCUGACCUGCCGCCUGCCCCCCCAAAUACUGGGGUGACACCUGCCGGCCGAUCUUCUGGGGAACAACGUGCGCCCAAACAUACCGGAGCAUCAUCUGCAUCUCGAAAAUCUGCCAAGCCGUCUGCCCCUCGACAUCCUAAAAAGACGCCUGGCUCACAACAUCCAAAAGCACCACAUGGUCCUAAAAAAACUGGAGCACCACAUGCUUCUCAAAAACCUGGAGGACCAUCUGGCCCCCAACAACCUGGAGUGCCACCUGCCUCACAAUAUCCUGGAGGAUCAUCUGGCCCCCAACAACCUGGAGUGCCACCUGCCUCGCAAUAUCCUGGAGGACCAUCUGGCCCCCAACAACCAGGAAUGCCACCUGGCUCCCAACAACCUGGAGGACCAUUUGGCCCCCAACAACCUGGAGUGCAAACUGCCUCCCAAUACCCUGGAAUGCCACCUGGAUCCCAAUACCCUGGAAUGCCACCUGGCUCCCAACAACCUGGAAUGCCACCUGCCUCCCGAUACCCUGGAAUGCCACCUGGAUCCCAAUACCCUGGAAUGCCACCUGGCUCCCAACAACCUGGAAUGCCACCUGCCUCCCGAUACCCUGGAAUGCCACCAGCCUCCCAAUACCCUGGAAUGCCACCUGGCUCCCAAAAUUCUUUCCGGCCUCCUUCCCUUUCGACAUGCUGUAAGUGCAACUGUCCCAUAUAUACUGGAGCAAAACCUGACUCCCGACAUUCUAUCCCCUCUCCUGUCCUCGACGUCUUGUCCCGCUGCCUGCCCCCCAAUAUUCCGUCCCCCCACCAGACCCCCAAACCAGGGAGCGACGUCUGUUCUCCGACAUUUUCUCCCGCCACUUGUCCCCCGACGAGUUCCUCAUGCCUCUCUGACAUCCUGAAGCGCCACGUGCUCCCCGAAAUUUUGUCCAACCGUCUUCCCCCAAAAAUCAUGGAGCGCAGCCCGCCCCUGGCAUCUUGUCCCGCCGCCUGCCCCCCGCAUCCUAGAAUGCAGCCUGCUCCCGGAAAUUCUUUCCAGUCGUCAGCCACCCGCUAUCCUGGAUCGCUGUCUGUCCAUCGACAUUCUGUCCCACCGACUUCCCCUCACAUCCUGGAGCGCAGCCUGCCUCCCAGUUGCCCGCCUCCCGACAUUCUGUCCAGUUGCCCACCUCCCGAAAUUCUGUCCAGUCGCAUGCUCCCCACAUCCUGGAGCACAGCUUGCCCCCCGAAAUUCAGUACCACCACCAGAUCCCCGACACUCAGUACCGCCACUUGCCCCCCAAAAUUCCGUUCCAUUGAUUGCCCCCCGAAAUUCCAUUCCAUUGAUUGCCCCCCGACAUUCCAUUCCAUUGAGUGCCCAUCGACAUGUUAAAGCGCUGCCUGCUUCCUACAUCCUGGAGCGCAACCUGCCUCCCUCGACAUUCUACCCCCACACUUGCAUUCCACAUUCUGAAGUGCAACCAGCCCACCAACAUUCUGUCCCGCUGAAUGCCCUCGACAUUCUGGACUGCCGCUUGUUCCCUGUCAUCCUGGAAUGAUGCCUGCCUGACAUGCUAGACACCCGACAAUGUGCGGCGCUGCUAGCCUCCCGACAUCCUGCAGUGCCGCCUGCCUCCUGACCUCCGGGAGCACCGCCUUUCUUCGACCACCUGCACAUAGUUCAGGAGAUCUUUGGAGGCAGUACCUCGCCACGUGUCGAACAUCCGCUGAAGACCGUCUGGAACAUCUCCAGCGCUCGAGGAACAUCACGUGCCAGGUGCCACGUGCCACGUGCCACGUGCCACGUGCCACGUGCAGGCUCCAGUGCCUUUCCCCCCUCGCGGACGGUGGCACUUGCAGUUCGGGAUCGCCCUCGAAGUUCUUCACAGCGGACCAGCCCACAAACACCGCUUCUUCUACAGCGGCAAUCACUACACCGCAUUACACAGAACAUUUCUUCUGGCCAAGAAUAAUAAAGAAAAAAAAUUUCUAAAAAUUA